GGGGAAGUAGCUCAGUAGGUAGAGCACAUGCUUUGCAAGUAUGUUGUCGCAGGUUCAAUUCCUGUCUUCUCCACCA
rnacentral:tRNA from 2 species